rnacentral:rRNA from 1 species
CCAAUAGCGUAUAUUAAAGUUGUUGCAGUUAAAAAGCUCGUAGUUGAAUUUCGGGAUCAUCAGGUUGGUCGUGCCUCUGGUAUGUACUUGCUUCGAUGGACCCUCCUUCUUGAAGAACCGUAAUGGCCUUAAUUUGUUGUUGCGGGGAAAAAGGCCUGUUACUUUGAAAAACUUAGAGUGUUUAAAGCAGGCAAUCGCUUGAAUACAUUAGCAUGGAAUAAUGAAAUAGGACGUUCGAUCCUAUUUUGUUGGUUUCUAGGAUUGACGUAAUGAUUAAUAGGGAUAGUGGGGGGCAUUAGUAUUCAAUGGUCAGAGGUGAAAUUCGUGGAUUUAUUGAAGACUAACUACUGCGAAAGCAUUUGCCAAGGAUGUUUUCAUUAAUCAAGAACGAAAGUUAGGGGAUCGAAGACGAUCAGAUACCGUCGUAGUCUUAACCAUAAACUAUGCCGACUAGGGAUCGGGCGAUGUUAUUGUAUUGACUCGCUCGGCACCUUUCG